UUGUAUUAUACUUUUAUUAUAGGGUUAGGGGUAUUUUAGGAAUGAAAUAAAAAGAUUAUUUUAUUUUUUGGCUUGCGGAAAAAUGGCUUACCCAUCUUUUAAAUGGGUAAGACUUUUACUCUAUUUUAUGAAUAAAUACUGUCCAUGAAAAAAUAACUUACCUACUUAUGAAAAAAUUGACCAACAUUUCCGCAAAAUUUACCUAUCAAAGAAUGGCCCUGAAAGAUGGGCAUGGCUUGCAUAGCCAAUUAACCCUCUUCUAUACUAUUGUAUUGCCGACUCUUUUUCCUACUCUUGCUCUUCCUUUCGAUGUGGGACCAUUUUUCGGAUACUUCCACCUUCUCUCUCGUAUCUCUCCUUUUUGCUUCCUAAUUUGUAUUCCUCUUCUACUGACUACUGACCCGCCAUGCAUACGUAUCUAUAUGUCUGCAUAUGUAUGUAUGGAUGUAUGUACGUACACUGUAUUCCUGGCAUUCUUCAACAUCUGGUCCUUGGAAACCUCUUUGACUUGUGCUGCUUCAAUGUUCUGUAUUUUAUCUACCAUUUAUACACUGAACUUCUUGGAGUGCUAGUUGAUUAUGUCCUGUUCCUUUUAACUAUUAGCUGAUAUAGAUAAAGUCUCAAAUUUUGAUCUGCUAAAUACAAUGCAUGAUGAGAUGGUGUCAAAAUAUAUAAACCCAAUUUAAUUUCAAGUGCUAUUAUUGCCAAUACAAUGUAUACUAUCAUUUUAUCAUAGAGGUGGAGGAGAUUUUCUUGACAUCAGGCUGGCACCAGAUAAUGCAGGUUAAACCCGACUAAUGAUUUUGCUGCAGGUGGCGUGGACCUUGUCAAUGAAGGUUCUGUUUAUAAAAAUCGGCUUGGUGCCAUUGGCCUUGUGUUUGGUGCAGCUAUCAAUAUGUAAGCCUGACUUGUUUUGUGCUGCCAAUUUGAAGUGACACUGGAGAGGAGACAUGAGAUAUGCACACAAGAAGAGAAGAUAUGGCAAACUGAAAUGAUUUAUAUUAAGUCAACGGUGACAGUGUUUGAUUUAUUUUUCUAGAGAAGAUGGUGGAAGAAAAUAAGAAAUUAAUGGUGGUUCUUUGCACUAGGAUUUAUGUUGCAUCUUCUGACCAUCCUAUUUCUUUGUUCAGGCGGCAGAAUGAGUAAAUAAAACCAUGGCUUCUUUAAUUUUUUGGAAGAAUAUGUACUUUGAAAAUGUUGACCAUAUUCCUAUUGGUAAAACAAAGAAAAAAAACCGGGAUUUUUAAAAUAAAUUUCAUUUGUAGCAAUUUUCUUGCUAAGACUGAAGGUAAAUGAAAAAGGUUGAUGGAGAAUAAUAGGAUUUUAAAAUCUAUGAAAUAUUACCAAUUCUCGUCUUUGGAAUUUUCAUAAUGUUUGUGGCAUACUCGAAAGUUCAUUUUAAUAAAUAUAUAUACCUUCUUUUUCAGAAAACAGCAAAGCCACUAUAGUGACUUAAUUUUUGUUGGAUCAUUCUUUUUUUAAAAAUAUUUCUAAAAUGUUUCUUUCCUUUUGCAUAGAGAUCAUUAUUUACAUGGAAAAAUGCAUAGCCUGUGACAUGUAUGAUGGUAUUGUGAUGAGUUACAACUAGCCUCUCUUUGGUUGUGACUUGAUGCAGGUCCAUUUCUUAAUAUCUGCAACACAAUGAUGGAUGGCGCCAUGGCGGUUUACCUUUCACCACUAUGGACUAUGAUGAGUUUGGUGAGCCUAGAAACCAAGGUGACUAUGAGGCCAUUCACAGGGUAGGAGAAGGUGCUAACUGAUGGCAAAAGUGAGAGCUAGGACAUGCUCCACUUGUUCGCGGUCGGUCAUUCUGAAGACAAACAUGAGCAGUGGGCAUUUUCUGAGGGUGGCCGUUUCAUACAUUGUGAGUAUGCAUUUCUAAUUAAAGCAACGAGAGUGCUUGAUGAUGAGAAGCAAGCUUGAGUCCUCAAGAGAAACCUGUGUAAUUUCUUAUUAUCGGAAAGAUGGUGUUCAGGCUACUGAAACUAAAAGUGCCUGCUCAACUCCUUUGUUUUUUUUUUCCAUGCUUGAUCCAUCUUCAUCUGAAAGAAAUUAUCGCCCCUUCAGUGAAACAUAUGUGCUUAUUCGAUCCCUACAUGGGACAUCUAGAGCCAUAAAGUAUGCCACAUUUGGAUGUUUUAAAUGUAAAAACUUAAUGUC